GAUGAACGCUGGCGGCGUGCUUAACACAUGCAAGUCGAACGAUGAAAGCGGGAGCUUGCUCCUGCUGGAUUAGUGGCGAACGGGUGAGUAACACGUGGGCAAUCUGCCCCGAACUCUGGGAUAAGCGUUGGAAACGACGUCUAAUACCGGAUACGACGCGCGAAGGCAUCUUCUGCGCGUGGAAAGAACUUCGGUUCGGGAUGAGCUCGCGGCCUAUCAGCUAGUUGGUGAGGUAACGGCCCACCAAGGCGACGACGGGUAGCCGGCCUGAGAGGGGAACGGGCCACACUGGGACUGAGACACGGCCCAGACUCCUACGGGAGGCAGCAGUGGGGAAUAUUGCACAAUGGGCGCAAGCCUGAUGCAGCAACGCCGCGUGAGGGACGACGGCCUUCGGGUUGUAAACCUCUUUUAGUAGGGAAGAAGCGAAAGUGACGGUACCUGCAGAAAAAGCACCGGCUAACUACGUGCCAGCAGCCGCCGUAACAC
rnacentral:rRNA from 1 species